UAGCAUAUCAAUAAGCGGAGGAAAAGAAACCAACAGGGAUUGCCUCAGUAACGGCGAGUGAAGCGGCAACAGCUCAAAUUUGAAAUCUGGCCUCUGGCCCGAGUUGUAAUUUGCAGAGGAUGUUUCUGGCGAGGUGCCUUCCGAGUUCCCUGGAACGGGACGCCAUAGAGGGUGAGAGCCCCGUACGGUUGGUCGCUAAGCCUCUGUGAAACUCCUUCGACGAGUCGAGUAGUUUGGGAAUGCUGCUCUAAAUGGGAGGUGUACGCCUUCUUAAGCUAAAUACCGGCUAGAGACCGAUAGCGCACAAGUAGAGUGAUCGAAAGAUGAAAAGCACUUUGAAAAGAGGGUUAAAAAGUACGUGAAAUUGUUGAAAGGGAAGCGCUCUUGACCAGACUUGCGCCGGUUGAUCAUCCGCCGUUCUCGGUGGUGCACUCUGCCGGCUCAGGCCAGCAUCAGUUCGGCCCGGGGGAUAAAGGCUUCGGGAAUGUGGCUCUCUCCGGGGAGUGUUAUAGCCCGUUGCGUAAUACCCUGGGCUGGACUGAGGUUCGCGCAUCUGCAUGGAUGCUGGCGUAAUGGUUAUCAGUGACCCGUCUUGAAACACGGACCAAGGAGUCGUCUUCGUAUGCGAGUGUUCGGGUGUCAAACCCCUACGCGUAAUGAAAGUGAACGUAGGAGAGAGCUUCGGCGCAUCUCCGACCGAUCCUGAUGUUCUCGGAUGGAUUUGAGUAAGAGCAUACGGGGCCGGACCCGAAAGAAGGUGAACUAUGCCUGUAUAGGGUGAAGCCAGAGGAAACUCUGGUGGAGGCUCGCAGCGGUUCUGACGUGCAAAUCGAUCGUCAAAUAUGGGCAUGGGGGCGAAAGACUAAUCGAACCUUCUAGUAGCUGGUUUCCGCCGA
rnacentral:rRNA from 1 species